rnacentral:rRNA from 1 species
GCAUAACGCGAAGAACCUUACCAGCCCUUGACAUCCCGGUCGCGGUUACGAGAGAUCGUUUCCUUCAGUUCGGCUGGACCGGUGACAGGUGCUGCAUGGCUGUCGUCAGCUCGUGUCGUGAGAUGUUGGGUUAAGUCCCGCAACGAGCGCAACCCUCGCCCUUAGUUGCCAGCAUUCAGUUGGGCACUCUAAGGGGACUGCCGGUGAUAAGUCGAGAGGAAGGUGGGGAUGACGUCAAGUCCUCAUGGCCCUUACGGGCUGGGCUACACACGUGCUACAAUGGCGGUGACAGAGGGCAGCAACUCCGCGAGGGGUAGCUAAUCCCUAAAAACCGUCUCAGUUCGGAUUGCACUCUGCAACUCGGGUGCAUGAAGUUGGAAUCGCUAGUAAUCGCGGAUCAGCAUG